GACGAAUGCUGGCGGCGUGCUUAACACAUGCAAGUCGAACGGUGAAGGAGAGCUUGCUCUCCGGAUCAGUGGCGAACGGGUGAGUAACACGUGGGUAACCUGCCCCUCACUUCGGGAUAACCUUCCGAAAGGAUGGCUAAUACCGGAUAUGAAGCCUGGCGGCAUCGCCGGGCUUGGAAAGUUCUUCGGUGAGGGAUGGCCCCGCGGCCUAUCAGCUGGUUGGGGAGGUAAUGGCUCACCAAGGCGACGACGGGUAGCCGGCCUGAGAGGGGGACCGGCCACACUGGGACUGAGACACGGCCCAGACUCCUACGGGGGGCAGCAGUGGGAAAUAUUGCACAAUGGGCGCAAGCCUGAUGCAGCGACGCCGCGUGAGGGAUGAAGGCCUUCGGGUUGUAAACCUCUUUCAGUAGGGACGAAGCGCAAGUGACGGUACCUACAAAAGAAGCACCGGCUAACUACGUGCCAGCCGCCGCGGUAACAC
rnacentral:rRNA from 1 species